CACGUAGGGUGCGAGCGUUGUCCGGAAUUAUUGGGCGUAAAGAGCUCGUAGGCGGUGUGUCGCGUCGGCCGUGGAAACCUGCAGCUUAACUGUGGGCUUGCGGUCGAUACGGGCAUCACUGGAGUUCGGCAGGGGAGACUGGAAUUCCUGGUGUAGCGGUGAAAUGCGCAGAGUAUCAGGAGGAACACCGUGGCGAAGGCGGUCUCGUGGCCGAUGACUGACGCUGGAGGAGCGAAAGCGU
rnacentral:rRNA from 1 species